rnacentral:rRNA from 1 species
AUUGAACGAUGGCGGCAGGCUUAACACAUGCAAGUCGAGCGAGCGGCGGACGGGUGAGUAAUGUCUGGGAAACUGCCUGAUGGAGGGGGAUCACUACUGGAAACGGUAGCUAAUACCGCAUCCCAUCAGAUGUGCCCCGAUGGGAUUAGCUAGUAGGUGGGGUCAUGGCUCACCGAGGCGACGAUCCCUAGCUGGUCUUCGAGGAUGACCAGCCAAACUGGAACGGAGCCACGGUCCAGACUCCUACGGGAGGCAGCAGAGGGGAAUAUGGCACGAUGGGCGCAAGACUGAUACAGCCAUGCCGCGUGUUGGAAGAAGGCCUUCGGGUUGUAAAGCACUUUCAGCGAGGAGGCGUUACUCGCAGAAGAAGCACCGGCUAACUCCGUGCCAGCAGCCGCGGUAAUUC